UAACUACUGGAAACGGUAGCUAAUACCGCAUAACGUCGCAAGACCAAAGAGGGGGACCUUCGGGCCUCUUGCCAUCGGAUGUGCCCAGAUGGGAUUAGCUAGUAGGUGGGGUAACGGCUCACCUAGGCGACGAUCCCUAGCUGGUCUGAGAGGAUGACCAGCCACACUGGAACUGAGACACGGUCCAGACUCCUACGGGAGGCAGCAGUGGGGAAUAUUGCACAAUGGGCGCAAGCCUGAUGCAGCCAUGCCGCGUGUAUGAAGAAGGCCUUCGGGUUGUAAAGUACUUUCAGCGGGGAGGAAGGGAGUAAAGUUAAUACCUUUGCUCAUUGACGUUACCCGCAGAAGAAGCACCGGCUAACUCCGUGCCAGCAGCCGCGGUAAUACGGAGGGUGCAAGCGUUAAUCGGAAUUACUGGGCGUAAAGCGCACGCAGGCGGUUUGUUAAGUCAGAUGUGAAAUCCCCGGGCUCAACCUGGGAACUGCAUCUGAUACUGGCAAGCUUGAGUC
rnacentral:rRNA from 1 species